UGGGCAACCUGCCCCUCUCUCUGGGAUAACCCCCGGGGAAACCGGAGCUAAUACCGGAUACUCCGGCUGGAUCGCAUGGUCCGGCCGGGAAAGGUCCGCCGGAGAGGGAUGGGCCCGCGGCCUAUCAGCUUGUUGGUGGGGUCAUGGCUCACCAAGGCGACGACGGGUAGCUGGUCUGAGAGGAUGGCCAGCCACACUGGGACUGAGACACGGCCCAGACCUCCGUACGGGAGGCA
rnacentral:rRNA from 1 species